rnacentral:rRNA from 1 species
CUCAGAUUAAACGCUGGCGGCAGGCCUAACACAUGCAAGUCGAGCGGUAGCACAAGAGAGCUUGCUCUCUGGGUGACGAGCGGCGGACGGGUGAGUAAUGUUUGGGAAACUGCCUGAUGGUGGGGGAUAACUAGUGGAAACGGUAGCUAAUACCGCAUAAUGUCGCAAGACCAAAGUGGGGGACCUUCGGGCCUCACGCCAUCAGAUGUGCCCAGAUGGGAUUAGCUGUUAGGUGGGGUAAUGGCUCACCUAGGCGACGAUCCCUAGCUGGUCUGAGAGGAUGACCAGCCACACUGGAACUGAGACACGGUCCAGACUCCUACGGGAGGCAGCAGUGGGGAAUAUUGCACAAUGGGCGCAAGCCUGAUGCAGCCAUGCCGCGUGUGUGAAGAAGGCCUUCGGGUUGUAAAGCACUUUCAGCGAGGAGGAAGGGUAAUGUGUUAA